UUGAAGUCUUGGGUACCACCAACCUGAGGACCAGGACACUUUACUUCAAGGGUGUCACAGUUGAACUUAUGCCACUUGAUAGUGUCUGAAAAUGGCACUCUUCUAGGCUUAGGAUUUAUUUUGAUGAACUUGGGGCAGCGGUGUUGACUACAGCAAGAAUAAUCGUGAAGAGACAAUGGACGAAUUUGCUAAUCAUUUUCGGGAUUUCAACAGAUUUAUGCAAAUUCAGGGGAAAGUCACUGUUUAGCAAGGGCUGACCACUUCAGUCUGUGGCUUUGUAUGUCAUCAUUUUUAGGUUAAUAGAUGACACUGCUACCUGAGGACAUCGAGAUCACGUAUUCAAGGCCUGUGAUUUACACAUAAGGACACCAAGGUUCAGAAGGUUAUGACCACAUGGAGGAGCUAACACAGGUCUCCCUGGGGACCACUGUGCAGCAAUGACGAGAUCCAAGGGGCAUUACAUCUCAAUCCUGAAAUUUCCCCACGUGGGGGGAAAUGCCUCUGUUAUUCAAAGAUACUGUAACCUAUUUCACAGGAGAUAAUGGAAACAGAACAUGAUAUUUCGAGGCAUGUGAAUGUGGACGGUUUUCUCAGAAGAACUUUUCUUCAGCCAUUUAAUUUUAAAAGGUUUGUUUCAUUUGUAAGGGGUGUUUUUAACCCAUUGGAAUCAUCUUCCAAGACAGAAAUAUAAACGAGAGCCAUUAGAAACCAGAAUUCAUUUACCAGAAACUAGAUGCUAGUAGAACUUGAAGUAGUCACAGCAAUCCCAAAUAUCUGCAUUUACCACUAAGUGUGGGGAGGGGGACACUGAGCACAGUAAUUUCUUGUUAAGAACUCUGGCCUGUAGCAAGAUAUCACUGCCUCUUAUGUAUUUGACCGUUUCGAAAACAUCCUAUCCCUUAAUGCUCUAAAAACACAAUGCACAUGGCCAGUAAUAGACAUCGGCAGAUCAGGAUAAUAUGACAAAUUGGAUGAACUGACAGGUAGGUGAUGAAUAAUUUUAACAUGACCCUAAAAAUAGUGAAGGGAUGUUUGCACAUUGACACUUCUUUAAAGGCAGAUGGAUAUGCAUGACCCGUGUUUUUAGACAGGUGUCAGGAAUAUUGAUGGUUGGUAUGGGAAUGAUCAUUUUCUUGGCACUGUUGCAGUAGACAGUUUGCAUGAUUAAUGACGCAUCUUAGUCUUUUUUUUUUUUUUUUUCCUCCUAGGGGCAGAAAGGGAUACACACUUUUGUCACCCCAAGGAAUGUAAGAAUUCUGCCUGAAGGGGAAGGCAGGAGAGUUUUGUUCACCUAAAAGCACCAAUUUCUUUUUUGGGGGGUGAAGGAACGGUAGUAAAAUACACAAGCGGGUCUUGGCGUCUGAGAUGAUAGUCCCUGGUAGGAUAAGUAUAACGAGCUUCUUAUUAACAGGGUUCCAUCCCAGGGCAGAGAAGGCUCGCGCAGAUGUGAAGCAUGGAGCCCAGUAAGCCUAGGCUCAGACAAAAACGAAAGCGAACUGUGGCUCUGGGAUGGAUCUGAUCACAUACGUGUUUGAACGAAUAUUAAGAACCACUCAAAAGAAACGGCGCAGGGCCAAGGCAGGAAGUAAGAGGUGAGAUCAUCUUCCUAACGUUUGUAUUCACUUCAGGUUUCCAGAGACAAUUUUCUGAUUCAAAUCAAUUCAAUAUUGUUUCUAAAUCUUGAACCUAGUGAGAAAGAGCUUUUCUUUCCCAAGAAUAAUACUGUUUGCUCAGGUUUUUAAAAUGUCACAUAGAGCAGUGAAUGAACUAUGCUAUUUCAAGGCUCAAAAUUAAAUACAAAGUCUAAUAAUAGUUUGUAGGUAUAUACGGCUAAACCUUGGGUAGCCCCUCUACUAAAAAUAUCAUGGUAAGGUAACGGCAAAUAUAAAUUAAGGAGGUAAACUACAGAUUUUUUUUCUUUUUCUUUUCAAGGAAUAAAGGGCAACCAUGGAACUCGAGUCCCAAUGAGGGGGAAAACUUGUUUAUUCAAAGAAAGAAUUUUCUUUUUUAUACUGAGACUUAUUAGCUAAUACAUUUAGGUGAUUAUGAAAGCAGACCAUUUAUAUCUUCAAAGAAAUUUAAAUACAGAAUACAGACUUAUUUAUAUGAGGGGAAGGGGUGAAAAUUUAAUCUUCAUGAACACAAGGGACUAGAUUGUUUCUUUAUUUUCUGUUUACCCAGGAAGAGAGAGGACAAGAGUUACAACUUAAAAUCCCUCCUUUGCCUUACUGGAAAUAUUGAUGGAUUUACUGAUGAAAUUCUCAGUAGGUAAACUCAUAAC